rnacentral:ribozyme from 1 species
GGGCCGGACUUUGCCGAUCGCUGCUCUAGAAGGUUAACAUAGGCUCUCCACCUCCUACUCCUAUUCAAUACGUCCCCGUCGUACAGAACGGUAACAUGUCUCUCAAUUAUCCACGCUUGGGUAUACGGGGAAACCCAACCCCUUGGGCGGAUGGGUUGCAUGGCUAAAU